UACGUAGGUGACGAGCGUUAUCCGGAUUUACUGGGCGUAAAGCGCUUGUAGGUGGCUUUGUAAGUUGGGCGUGAAAACUCUGGGCUUAACCCAGACGACGCCGUCCAAUACUGCGAGGCUCGAGGAUGUCAGAGGAAGGUGGAAUUCCUGGUGUAGCGGUGAAAUGCGUAGAUAUCAGGAAGAACACCGGUGGCGAAAGCGCUCUGCUAGGCCGCAACUGACACUGAGGGACGAAAGCUAGGGGAGCGAAUGGG
rnacentral:rRNA from 1 species